AGCCGCGGUAAUACGGAGGGUCCAAGCGUUAAUCGGAAUUACUGGGCGUAAAGCGCGCGUAGGCGGUUUAGCAAGUUGCAUGUGAAAGCCCUGGGCUCAACCUAGGAACUGCAUUCAAAACUACUAAGCUAGAGUACGAGAGAGGAGAGUAGAAUUUCUGGUGUAGCGGUGAAAUGCGUAGAUAUCAGAAGGAAUACCAAUGGCGAAGGCAGCUCUCUGGCUCGUCACUGACGCUGAGGUGCGAAAGCGUGGGUAGCAAACAGGAUUAGAUACCCUGGUAGUCCACGCCGUAAACGAUGAGAACUAGCCGUUGGGCAGAUUUAACUGUUCAGUGGCACAGCUAACGCAUUAAGUUCUCCGCCUGGGGAGUACGGCCGCAAGGCUAAAACUCAAAUGAAUUGACGGGGGCCCGCACAAGUGGUGGAGCAUGUGGUUUAAUUCGAUGCAACGCGAAGAACCUUACCAACCCUUGAAAUCUAGCGAAGUUCACAGAGAUGAGAAUGUGCCUUCGGGAACGCUAUGACAGGUGUUGCAUGGCUGUCGUCAGCUCGUGUCGUGAGAUGUAUGGUUAAGUCCAGUAACGAGCGCAACCCCUAUCCUUAUUUGCCAGCGCAUUAAGGCGGGAACUAUAGGGAGACUGCCGGGUGAAACCCGGAGGAAGGCGGGGACGAGGUCAAGUCAUCAUGGCCCUUAUGGGUUGGGCUACACACGUGCUACAAUGGGAAGUACAGAGGGACGCUAAAGCGCGAGCUGGAGCCAAACCCUUAAAACUUUUCUUAGUCCGGAUUGGAGUCUGCAACUCGACUCCAUGAAGUCGGAAUCACUAGUAAUCGCGAAUCAGAAUGUCGCGGUGAAUACGUUCUCGGGCCUUGUACACACCGCCCGUCACAUCAUGGAAGUGGGUUGCACCAGAAGUGGUUAGUCUAACCUUCGGGAAGACGAUCACCACGGUGUGAUUCAUGACUGGGAUGAAGUCGUAACAAGGUAGCCCUAGGGGAACCUGGGGCUG
rnacentral:rRNA from 1 species